CUUAGGCGUGUGACUGCGUACCUUUUGUAUAAUGGGUCAGCGACUUAUAUUCUGUAGCAAGGUUAACCGAAUAGGGGAGCCGAAGGGAAACCGAGUCUUAACUGGGCGUUAAGUUGCAGGGUAUAGACCCGAAACCCGGUGAUCUAGCCAUGGGCAGGUUGAAGGUUGGGUAACACUAACUGGAGGACCGAACCGACUAAUGUUGAAAAAUUAGCGGAUGACUUGUGGCUGGGGGUGAAAGGCCAAUCAAACCGGGAGAUAGCUGGUUCUCCCCGAAAGCUAUUUAGGUAGCGCCUCGUGAAUUCAUCUCCGGGGGUAGAGCACUGUUUCGGCAAGGGGGUCAUCCCGACUUACCAACCCGAUGCAAACUGCGAAUACCGGAGAAUGUUAUCACGGGAGACACACGGCGGGUGCUAACGUCCGUCGUGAAGAGGGAAACAACCCAGACCGCCAGCUAAGGUCCCAAAGUCAUGGUUAAGUGGGAAACGAUGUGGGAAGGCCCAGACAGCCAGGAUGUUGGCUUAGAAGCAGCCAUCAUUUAAAGAAAGCGUAAUAGCUCACUGGUCGAGUCGGCCUGCGCGGAAGAUGUAACGGGGCUAAACCAUGCACCGAAGCUGCGGCAGCGACGCUGAUGCGUUGUUGGGUAGGGGAGCGUUCUGUAAGCCUGUGAAGGUGUGCUGUGAGGCAUGCUGGAGGUAUCAGAAGUGCGAAUGCUGACAUAAGUAACGAUAAAGCGGGUGAAAAGCCCGCUCGCCGGAAGACCAAGGGUUCCUGUCCAACGUUAAUCGGGGCAGGGUGAGUCGACCCCUAAGGCGAGGCCGAAAGGCGUAGUCGAUGGGAAACAGGUUAAUAUUCCUGUACUUGGUGUUACUGCGAAGGGGGGACGGAGAAGGCUAUGUUGGCCGGGCGACGGUUGUCCCGGUUUAAGCGUGUAGGCUGGUUUUCCAGGCAAAUCCGGAAAAUCAAGGCUGAGGCGUGAUGACGAGGCACUACGGUGCUGAAGCAACAAAUGCCCUGCUUCCAGGAAAAGCCUCUAAGCAUCAGGUAACAUCAAAUCGUACCCCAAACCGACACAGGUGGUCAGGUAGAGAAUACCAAGGCGCUUGAGAGAACUCGGGUGAAGGAACUAGGCAAAAUGGUGCCGUAACUUCGGGAGAAGG
rnacentral:rRNA from 1 species